GACGAACGCUGGCGGCGUGCUUAACAUAUGCAAGUCGAACGGAAAGGCCUGCUUUCCCUUGUGGAUUGCGGGUACUCGCGUGGCGAACGGGUGAGUAACACGUGAGUGAUCUGCCCCCAACUUUGGUAUAAGCCUGGGAAACUGGGUCUAAUUCCCGAUAGGACUGCAGGGUGGUGCCUGUGGUGGAAAACGAUUUUCUAGUGGUUGGGGAUGAGCUCGCGGCCUAUCAGCUUGUUGGUGGGGUAAUGGCCUACCAAGGCGGCGACGGGUAGCCGGCCUGAGAGGGUGGACGGCCACAUUGGGACUGAGAGACGGCGCAGACUCCUACGGGAGGCAGCAGAGGGGAAUAUAGCACAAUGGGCGGAAGCCUGAUGCAGCGACGCCGCGUGGGGGAUGACGGCCUUCGGGUUGUAAACUCCUUUCGACCGCGAGGAAGCCACCUGGUUGGAAGGGUGGUGACGGUAGUGGUAGAAGAAGCACCGGCUAACUACGUG
rnacentral:rRNA from 1 species